rnacentral:rRNA from 11 species
UGAAGGAACGUUGAAGACGACGACGUUGAUAGGCCGGGUGUGUAAGCGCAGCGAUGCGUUGAGCUAACCGGUACUAAUGAACCGUGAGGCUUAACCUUACAACGCCGAAG